GUUAACGCUGGCGGUAUGUAUAAUACAUGCAAGUCGAGCGCCCAGCACUCUGUCUUUAAAAUAUUAAAGGUAGAGUGCUGGGAGCGGCGAACGGCUGAGUAACACGUUGGUAAUUCCCCCGAACUCAGGGAUACCCUCUAGAAAUAGAGGUUAAUACCGGAUGGUCUCGAAAGAGUAAAGAUUUUUCGGUUCGGGAAAUGCCUGCGGCCUAUCAGUUAGUUGGUGAGGUAACGGCUCACCAAGACUAUGACGGGUAGCUGGUCUGAGAGGACGACCAGCCAGAAUGGGACUGAGACACGGCCCAUACUCCUACGGGAGGCAGCAGUAAAGAAUCUUCCACAAUGGGCGAAAGCCUGAUGGAGCAAUACCGCGUGGGCGAUGAAGGCCGAAAGGUCGUAAAGCCCUUUUCUGAGGGGAUAAUUCUGAAGGUACCUCAGGAAUAAGCACCGGCUAACUCCGU
rnacentral:rRNA from 1 species